rnacentral:rRNA from 1 species
UACGGAGGGUGCAAGCGUUAUCCGGAUUCACUGGGUUUAAAGGGUGCGUAGGUGGGUUGGUAAGUCAGUGGUGAAAUCCCCGAGCUUAACUUGGGAACUGCCAUUGAUACUAUCAGUCUUGAAUACCGUGGAGGUCAGCGGAAUAUGUCAUGUAGCGGUGAAAUGCUUAGAUAUGACAUAGAACACCAAUGGCGAAAGCAGCUCUCUGGGACGGUACUGACGCUGAGACGCGAAAGCGUGGGGAGCGAACAGG